UGCCCGGCAACUCCUAUCCCUAUCGCCUCGUGGUACGAGCAAGCUUAGGGAAGAUCGAGUAACCAACCCCAGUGGGAACUCUGGUCGUAUGCUGACAGGGAAGG
rnacentral:ribozyme from 1 species